CGACCCGUAAAAUCACGUUCAAGUAAUCUAGCUAAUUAUCUAGCUACCUCAUUUGCGUUAGGUCAUAUUGCCAACAUAUUUAGUUAUGUUGGGAAAUAAUGGCAUCUAAUCUGUCACAUUGGUUUUUAACAACACGAAAAGUUGCUUUCUUCAACCUCUUUCUUGGUAACACCGCUCUCGCUUCACCAGAACCUGACUCUGGAGCUGUCAUGAUGUCCAUGUGUUCCUCAGCUGGACCAGAAGCAGAGGCCCUGCCAACGAGGAGGACCAUAAAGUAGAGUUGAGCAGGCAACUGGGAGAGAAGCUUGGACUCAAAGAUGGAGAGCAGGGCUUCUUGCGGCCAUGCCAGCAGGUCCUGUCUGUACAGCAGGUGUUUGUGGACCCACUCACCUCUGACGACUUGGAGAUCCUGGAGCUCCACAGUGCAGCAGCUCCUGGAGCAGAAUAGAGUGGUGUUUCCUGAUGCAGUGUUUCCUGUGUGGGUGGACCAGAGAACACUCAUCUACAUCCGAAUCGGGUCCUCUCUGGAGAGCAUUCAGAAGACUGGACUUCCUGUAGAACAAUGUCCCAACGCUGCUGGCCUCCAGUGCCCCCAGCAGUGGGGCGGGAUAGCAAUCCUAAAGAACAUGGUCAGAUUCCACUAUCCCUGGGAACUAGGCUCCAUUUCGACCCACACUCAUCAGUGAGAAUCAAGCCAAUCAAAUCAACUCCUAAAGUAGUCACCGGUAUCUACCUGCAGCCUUUACAAGCAGGCUACCCUGCAACUAGGCUACCCUGCCGCCCCAAUUAAUCAGCUGUGUUUGCUAGGGAUGGAGAAAAAGUGUGACACCAAUCAGGCCCCAGAGGACUGGAGUUGCACACCCCUGCUAUAGAGGAACCGCAGAAGAUACAUAUGUAUGCAUAGGAGGUAAGGACAAGUAGGGCGGCAGGGUAGCCUAGUGGUUAGAGCGUUGGACUAUUAACCAGAAGGUUGCAAGUUCAAAUCCCCAAGCUGACAAGGUACAAAUCUGUUGUUCUGAACAGGCAGUUAACCCACUGUUCCUAGGCCAUCGUUGAAAAUAAGAAUUUGUUCUUAACUGACUUGCCUAGUUAAAUAAAGAUUAAAAUAAAGUAAUAAGGGAUAUUACUGACUGUGUUUGGGAAUAGUACUAUGUGGAUGAGAGUAUUGUGUACUUGACUAAUUAACUGGACAGGGUUUUAGCCCCGAUGACGUGUUAAGCGAAAGAGUUCAACAUAGGGUUUAAGUAUGGGAAAGGGAAAUAGUAAGAGUAGGAUGGAGGAUCUGUGCUUGGAACCAAAAGGGCCGUGUAGCGUAAUGGCAAAAAAAUUGGUAGGUGAUUACUGAACCAAACAGAAGACUGGACAUUUCCCGGUUGUUGCGAAACUGAGCACAGAAAGUCUGGAGUCUGUGAGAGGCCAACUUGAAAGAAAACAAAAUAAAGUUAAAGUGAAGUGGGACGAUUUUCAGGAAGUGGGAGAGAGAAGCAGAAAAUGCGAAGGAUCAAGCUGUAAGAGGACUGAUGGUAAAGCAAGUGGAACCGGAGAAGAAAGAGGAAGAAGAGAAAAAAAGAAGCCUGGCUGGUCUUUCUCCGAGCGGAACUCUUUCAUGGGGCCCCCCUUGUAUCCGCCACUGCCAAAUCCUCCAUCAGCAGACGAAGAUGGUGGCCUCCCGUCCCCUCAUAACCCAGAUGGGGUUGGACCUGUGCCAGGUGGAGGAGCUGCAGAAGAUGCUGGAGCUGAAGGCAGAAAGCCACCAGCAAAAACAAGGACCAGAGUGAACGAGCAGAGAGGGAGAGUGA
rnacentral:lncRNA from 13 species